UGAAGCCAAAACAGCCUUGGCGACUGUAGUCCUGCCACUGAAUUGCAGGGCUUCCAAUUGUGAAUCAGGAAAUCGGAUGCUUCCGAAGAAGCUCUUCUUCCAUAGGUGGGGAUUCCCGACUACUUGGCAUCAGAGAAGGAUGAUGCAUGCCGCACGGUGAUGGAAAGAAGAGCCAAGAGAGAUGAUAAAAAUAUGCAUAACAGAAUCCAUUUCAACUUAUAUGAAUUCAACAUGAGCACCUGCAACUGUUUUCCUACAGAAAGGAGCGGGAAAUAGCACUAUUUUUUGUUCGUUUAGUUGCUGUUCUUUCUUCUCCCUCAUAUGUUCAUGCAGGGUGCUGAAUUUAGUGAUAAAUGCACCCCCAGACUUUAGCUGAGCUGCACAAGUCGAUGAAUGGGAUUUUCUUGCACUGUCUAAUUAACAAACAACCAACAAUCCAUGAUCUUUGGUCACUCUUGUUCCUGUUUAACUCAAAAAGAUCGAACAAAAUAUAACUGUACACCAGAUUUUAGCCGAGUUGUACAAGUCAAUAAGAUCUUCUACAACCAACAAAAUAACUUCCUACCAAAAUGAGCAAAAACAAGUUCCAUUUUUUAUUCUUAUAAUUGUUAUGGAUUAAAUCGCUAUUUCUCAUACAUGCUGCUGAAUUUAGCCCCCUGGAUUCCUCUAUGAAGACAGAAAAGAAUGGGAAGAAAUGCUCAAAGCUUCUCAUAAAAGAGAAUAUAGGUUUCAUCUGUGUCUGAGUCAGAAAAUAUGCUGUCAACUGAAUAAUGUGAUUCAUCUUCUCGACUCGGCUUCUCACCACCGGCUGAAACCUCUGUUUCACCCGUAACACUGAGGGAAUGGCUUCUUUUCAAACUCUUCAGCAGCCGAGAGAUUCGCUGAAACUGAAGCCAUUUCAUUUGGCAAGCUACUAGGGGCGGAAGACAAUGACAAUAUAGCAUUGGCUAUGGCAUGAAUAGAAGAGGCACCACUAGCAUUGCCAUUAACAUCAGAUGGGUGCUUAGUAGUUUCAGUUUCUGACUCAGACACAGAUGAAGAUUACAAUCCUGAAAAUAAUGAUGGUUCUGCAGUGUCCUUGGAGAGUUGUUUUGCUUUUUUCACAAAGCCGGAGCUUCUCCUGGACGAGCAUGGUUCGCGGUGCAAACAUUGUUCAACUGCACAAGCCGGAGGAUCUGAAUCGAAAGGCAGCGGCACCGACAGAAACAAGUCAAAUUCUGAGAAAAGGGGCGGGACUAAAAGGAUCCUCAUUGAUCAGGCACCACGUGUUCUGACCAUCCACCUUAAGAGGUUCAUCCAAGGCGCUGACAGUUCCCUGAGUAAACUGAAAGGCCAUGUGGAUUUUGGAUAUACACUCGAUCUUGCACCAUUCAUGGAGCCAAGGAGCGUGGCAACAGGUGAGUACAAGUAUCGUCUGAUCAGCGUGGUGGAGCAUUUUGGGACAUAUGGCAAGGCCACCACGUUGCAUAUGUGAGAGAUUUGAAGAUUGAGAAGGGUGACGACAACAAAAAUGUUAAUUCUUGUGGUAUCGUGUCGCCGAUGCUAAUGUCAAAGAAGCUUCUCUGGAAGAAGUCCUCUGCGCUGAAACCUAUAUUCUCUUUUAUGAGAAGCUUUGAGCAUUUCUUCCCAUUCUUUGCUGUCUUCAUAGAGGAAUCCAGGGGACUAAAUUCAGCACCUUGUAUGUGAAAUAGCCAUUUAAACCAUAACAAUUAUAAGAACAAAAAUGGAACUUGUUUUUGCUCAUUUUGGUAGGAAGUUAUUUUGUUGGGUUGUAGAAGAUCUUAUUGACUUGUACAACUCGGCUAAAAUCAGGUGUACAGUUAUAUUUUGUUCGAUCUUUUUGAGUUAAACAGGAAACAAGAAUGAUCAAAGAUCAUAGAUUGUAGGUUGUUUGUUAAUUAGACAGUGCAAGAAAAUCCCGUUCGUCGACUUGUGCAGCUCAGCUAAAGUCUGGGGUGCAUUUAUCACUAAAUUCAGCACCCUGCAUUAACAUAUGAGGGAG